CGGACAACUUGUUAUUGUGAUAUAAUUUCAAACCUUGAAAAAAGUGUACAAGCAUUAAAAAGAACAUCUACAUAUCCUUUACCUCAUUUAUCCAAUUACUUAUAUUCCGGCCCAUCUGUGUGUCAUGAAUUCGUCCAUGCACACUUUCACUCUCUCUACAGAUCCACGCAUUCAACCAUGUACACAUCCAUUCACUCUCUCUAUGGAUCCAUGCAUUCAUCCAUGUACGCAUUCACCCUCUCUACAGAUCCAUGCAUUCAUCCAUGUACACAUCCAUUCACUCUCUCUAUGGAUCCAUGCAUUCAUCCAUGUACGCAUUCACUCUCUCUACAGAUCCAUGCAUUCAUCCAUGUACACAUCCAUUCACUCUCUCUAUGGAUCCAUGCAUUCAUCCAUGUACGCAUUCACUCUCUCUACAGAUCCAUGCAUUCAUCCAUGUACACAUCCAUUCACUCUCUCUACGGAUCCAUGUAUUCAUCCAUGUACGCAUUCACUCUCUCUACAGAUCCAUGCAUUCAUCCAUGUACACAUCCAUUCACUCUCUCUAUGGAUCCAUGCAUUCAUCCAUGUACACAUCCAUUCACUCUCUCUACAGAUCCAUGCAUUCAUCCAUGUACACAUCCAUUCACUCUCUCUAUGGAUCCAUGCAUUCAUCCAUGUACACAUCCAUUCGCUCUCUCUAUGGAUCCAUGCAUUCAUCCAUGUACACAUCCAUUCACUCUCUCUAUGGAUCCAUGCAUUCAUCCAUGUACGCAUCCAUUCACUCUCUCUAUGGAUCCAUGCAUUCAUCCAUCCAUGCAUUCACUCUCUCUACAGAUCCAUGCAUUCAUCCAUGUAUGCAUCCAUUCACUCUCUCUAUGGAUCCAUGCAUUCAUCCAUGUACCCAUCCAUUCACUCUCUCUACGGAUCCAUGCAUUCAUCCAUGUACACAUCCAUUCACUCUCUCUAUGGAUCCAUGCAUUCAUCCAUGUACGCAUACAUUCACUCUAUGGAUCCAUGCAUUCAUCCAUGUACGCAUCCAUUCACUCUCUCUAUGGAUCCAUGCAUUCAUCCAUGUACACAUCCAUUCACUCUCUCUAUGGAUCCAUGCAUUCAUCCAUCCAUGCAUUCACUCUCUCUAUGGAUCCAUGCAUUCGUCCAUCCAUGCAAUCACUCUCUCUAUGGAUCCAUGCAUCUGUCCAUCCAUGCAUUCAGUCUCUACGGAUCCAUGUACUCAUCUAUCCAUGCAUUACACUCUCUCUAUGGAUCCAUGCACUCGUCUAUCCAUGCAUUCACUCUCUGUGGAUCCAUGCACUCGUCCAUCCACGCAUUCACUCUCUCUACAGAUCCACGCACUCAACUAUCCAUGCAUUCACUCUCUGUGGAUCCAUGCACUUGUCCAUCCAUGCAUUCACUCUCUCUAUGGACCUAUGCACUCGUCCAUCCACGCAUUCACUCUCUGUGGAUCCAUGCAUUCGUCCAUCCAUGCAUUCAUCCAUCCAUGCACACAUUCACUUUCUUUAUGGAUUCAUGCAUCCAUCCAUCUAGCAUUCACAUUCACUUUCUCUACGGAUCCAUACAUCUGUCCAUCCACAUAUUUACUAUCUCUGUAGGCCCAUACACCACGCUCUUUCACCCCAAAUACUGUACCAUGUGUUUCCCCAAAACAACAUCCAGAUAACCACAGUGCAAUGAUCAAAAUCAGAACAUGAGCACUGAGCCAGUAUUACCACCUAAUUCUCGGCUGAUUCUCCAUGGCCUGUCC
rnacentral:lncRNA from 1 species